AUGAACUGCCUACUACGGAACUCGCGCCGCCUCCUCCUUGUGUGUAAGCAGGCAGGCGGCGUCCGCCGACUGGCUUCGCUGCUGCCGACCCAUGCAAACCCGGUGUUCCGCUUCAGUCAGUGGUACCGUAAUCCGCGUACGGUCGCUGCAGUGGCGGCCCUCGCCUCAGGUGCCGGGGCUAUGGCCGCGCUGGGCCUCUACGACCGCGAGGUUGUGCCUUACACGAACCGCACGCACAUGGUCAUCAGGUCUCCCCAGUCCGAACGCCAGCUCUGGGAGUCCCGUUACACAAAGGACAAGAAAAUCUGGGCUUCCGAAUCACGGAUCGUCGAUCCGCUUCACCCAGACAGCAUUCGUGUACGUCGUAUCGCCGAGAAAGUUAUUGGCGCCACCUAUCGUACCCUCCCUAUCAACAGCAGCCACGAUGGCACCAAGAGACCGAAGCCACAGACAAGUCAUCUUGAGGGGUUUGAGUGGGAGGUGAUACUUGUUAAAGACGACGACCCCACUGCAGCGUGCGCUCCUGGUGGCAAGAUUGCAGUAUUUACCGGAUUGCUCGACCGUUUUACCGAUGCUGAGAUUGCCUUUGCUAUUGCGCAUGAGAUUGGUCACAUCGUUGCCAGACACUACUCGGAAAUUUGUUACGCCAAGUGGUCUCCAAUACCCAUGUUUGUGCCUUUCUUCCGAAGGUCGGAGAUGGAGGCAGAUCACAUUGGAACCCUUCUACUUGGAGCUGCUGGUUUCCAUCCAUACGCGUCCCUCUUGUACUUCCGGAAGCAGGCAAUAAUUGAAAGAGAGUCGGUGUCACAAGAUCACAUCCUUUUUAAUCCUUCAGAUACAACAAGGGCAGAGCGUGUGAUGCAACCCAAAAUCAUGCAGGAGGCACUGAAACUAUAUAAGGAAGCUCCGCCCGACGAAGGUACCAGCUCAGAAGCCCCCGCUGAAGGAUUUUCCUUUCGACAAACCCUGGGAGAUGCAUUCCAACUUAUAUCGACAAGACUGAGGCACGCUCUUACGGGGGGAUCAGCAGAUUAG
rnacentral:rRNA from 1 species